rnacentral:misc_RNA from 1 species
AACAUCGCGCACCUGCGGGAACCUGCGGAAGGAUCAUUACAGAGUUGCAAAACUCCCCAAACCAUUGUGAACCUUACCUUCAAACGUUGCUUCGGCGGGCGGGCCACAGCGCCCCCCGGGCCCCCCCAGCGGGGGCGCCCGCCGGAGGAUACCCAAACUCUUGAUACUUUAUGGCCUCUCUGAGUCUUCUGUACUGAAUAAGUCAAAACUUUUAACAAUGGAUCUCAGAUCGGAAGAGCA